rnacentral:lncRNA from 1 species
AACUGUGCAACCCCCUAUUUUUCGUGAUUUGAAAAAUCAAUCGCUAUAUUUUUGUUCUGCAUUUCACAUUGUAACUUGAUUUUAUUUGAGUAACAUUUUUUUCACAUGUAAUUAAGGUAACUAAUUAUCUCCCAAACAGUACAAAAUACGUUAUAUGUGUGUGAGAGUGUGCGUUUUCCAUAAUUAGGAAAAUCAUUACCAAAAUCCAUAAAAACUAAUCCAUAGCAGCUAUUACAAUCCUAUAAACAAGCAAACCUCCCCAAAAUCGCAAACCCUCGCCGAUCAGAAUCUAACGGUGGUUGGACCCCAGCAGCUCAGAUCCAUCACCUUCUUCACGCGCUGCUCUCGUAUCUCAAUCCUCUCCUUCUCCGCCCCCAUCAUCCUUCCCGACGCCGCCGCCGGCGAUGGUGAAACAAUGUGCUUAUGAUAGUAGGUCUGCACUCUGGUUUUAGCGCGCUGUUCAACGGAUCUGAUCACGUAAUUCCAUCUGCAAACCCCUAAUUGAUCUUUCAAAGCCUCCACCGCUCCGAUGCUCGCCGCGAUACCCCAGCCACCUUUUGUUGCUGCACUCAUUUCUAUAGUUUCCUCUGUUAAUCGAUUAAACUAUUGAGAGAUUUUGAGGGGAAUCGAGAAUUGCUGAUUGAGUUUUUGUUCAAGGUAAAAAUGCCAGUGCGUGGUGUUGUAUAUAUAGGGGGUGGGGAUUCACUGUGAGGCCCAAAGUGUGAAUUGUUAAAACAAGGAGCAGGGUUUAUUUAAGGUUACGGAAACAGUCAUGUUUUCUCAAAAUAAAUAAACAUUUAUUUAUUGUUAAAGAAAGCAGUUGUUUCGUGUCAUUUUCUGUGUAUUAGCCCACGGUUUUCGACUACUUUUCCACCUCAAGUUUAGGAAAUCGCUAGUUUUUUAUUUGUAAAACUAGCUGAUUGAGUAGGAUUAGCUACUUCAAUUUAUAUGGGCUAAUUGCUAAACAAUGUACGCGUUUUGAUUUAAUUUUUAGAAUAUUUUAAUAAUAUUUUUAUUUUCUUUGAAAUUGAAGGAAUAAUAUCUUAUUUUUAAUCUAUAUAAUAUAUGUGAAAACAUAGUUAUAUAAUUCAAAUAUGAAUUUUUAUUUAUGUUUGUGUAUGAAUAUAUUUAUUUGUCUACUUAUUUAUUUAUUAGUAUGCCUAAUACUCUAUAAUAAUAUGUGUAAUGUUAAUAAUCAUUGUCAAAUAAUUUAAAUAUUUUAUAUAUAAUGAUAAAUUAUUUAUGUACACAUAUUCAAAAUUAUAUUCAAUUAAUUUUAUAAAAUUUGAAAUUAAAUUUCUUUAGGCAAAAUUUGAAAUCAGAUAUGUAUUUAAAUAAGUAUAUUUGAUAAGAAACUUAGGCAAAAUGAUAUAUGCCAUUCUGUUGGAGUUUCCUUUUCCGGUAUCAAACAAUUACUUAAUUUUUUAUUAGUAUUUUUAAAAAUUGUAAGAAUAUGAUUUUUUCCCUAUUGUACGGUUCAAACUUCACUUAUAAGAAGACAUAGUUAUGUAAUGGAUUAACACUACAAAAAAUAUUUUGUCCACAGUAGCACAAUUUUUCUUUUAAAAAAUAGUAUUUCAUUAUGACGUGAGCAUUUUUAUUUUUUACUUCUCCCCCUUUUAACGUCAAUUAUGUUGUUUUCUUCUAUAAUUUCAGGAAAGAAAAUAAAAGUUUCCAUCAAAGAGGAAAAUUAAAAAUGAUACAUUUCAAAAUUAAAAAUAUAAAAACAUAUACAUUAUGAAAAUCUUUAUAAUACAUUACAUAUUGAAGCUAAGAGAUAUGAAGUUACAUAAAUAUAGAACAUAUAAUACAAGAGGCGAUUUUUAAGAUAAUCAUAUAAAAUAAUAAAAAUCAAUAGUUCAUAUACAUUAUUUCAUUAAAUUUUGGAUUUUUGGACGAGANCAUCCUCCGACCCCGCCGCCGGCGAUGGUGAAACAAUGUGCUUAUGAUAGUAGGUCUGCACUCUGGUUUUAGCGCGCUGUUCAACGGAUCUGAUCACGUAAUUCCAUCUGCAAACCCCUAAUUGAUCUUUCAAAGCCUCCACCGCUCCGAUGCUCGCCGCGAUACCCCAGCCACCUUUUGUUGCUGCACUCAUUUCUAUAGUUUCCUCUGUUAAUCGAUUAAACUAUUGAGAGAUUUUGAGGGGAAUCGAGAAUUGCUGAUUGAGUUUUUGUUCAAGGUAAAAAUGCCAGUGCGUGGUGUUGUAUAUAUAGGGGGUGGGGAUUCACUGUGAGGCCCAAAGUGUGAAUUGUUAAAACAAGGAGCAGGUUUUGUUUAAGGUUACGGAAACAGUCAUGUUUUCUCAAAAUAAAUAAACAUUUAUUUAUUGUUAAAGAAAGCA